rnacentral:rRNA from 1 species
GACGAACCGUGCGAACGUUAUUCGGAAUCACUGGGCUUAAAGCGCGUGUAGGCGGAUGAGCACGUCUGUCGCUGAAAUCCCCGGGCUUAACCUGGGAAUGGCAUUCGGGACUGCAAGGCUGGAGUGCGGCAGAGGAGACUGGAAUUCCUGGUGUAGCAGUGAAAUGCGUAGAUAUCAGGAGGAACACCGAUGGCGAAGGCAGGUCUCUGGGCUGACACUGACGCUCAUGCACGAAAGCGUGGGGAGCAAACAGG